AUUGAACGCUGGCGGCAGGCCUAACACAUGCAAGUCGAGCGAGUGGCGGACGGGUGAGUAAUGUAUGGGAAACUGCCCGAUGGAGGGGGAUAACUACUGGAAACGGUGGCUAAUACCGCAUACCAUCGGAUGUGCCCAUAUGGGAUUAGCUUGUUGGUGGGGUAACGGCUCACCCAGGCGACGAUCACUAGCUGGUCUGAGAGGAUGAUCAGCCACACUGGGACGUAGACACGGCCCAGACUCCUACGGGAGGCAGCAGUGGGGAAUAUUGCACAAUGGGCGCAAGCCUGAUGCAGCCAUGCCGCGUGUAUGAAGAAGGCCUUAGGGUUGUAAAGUACUUUCAGCGGGGAGGCGUUACCCGCAGAAGAAGCACCGGCUAACUCCGUGCCAGCAGCCGCGGUAAUUC
rnacentral:rRNA from 1 species